rnacentral:rRNA from 14 species
CUAUCCGUCGUGGGCGUAGGAAAUUUGAGAGGAGCUGUCCUUAGUACGAGAGGACCGGGAUGGACAUACCUCUGGUGUACCAGUUGUCGUGCCAACGGCAUAGCUGGGUAGCUAUGUGUGGACGGGAUAAGUGCUGAAAGCAUCUAAGCAUGAAGCCCCCCUCAAGAUGAGAUUUCCCAACUUCGGUUAUAAGAUCCCUCAAAGAUGAUGAGGUUAAUAGGUUCGAGGUGGAAGCAUGGUGACAUGUGGAGCUGACGAAUACUAAUCGAUCGAAGACUUAAUCAAAA